GUCUACGGCCAUGCCACCCCGAGCAAGCCGGCUCCCGUCUGAUCUCGGAAGCUAAGCAGAGUCGGGCCUGGUUAGUACUUGGAUGGGAGACCACCUAGGAAGACCAGGUGCUGUAGGUG
rfam:Pteropus alecto contig40112, whole genome shotgun sequence.